rnacentral:rRNA from 1 species
GAUGAACGCUGGCGGCGUGCCUAAUACAUGCAAGUCGAGCGAACAGAUGAGGAGCUUGCUCCUCUGACGUUAGCGGCGGACGGGUGAGUAACACGUGGAUAACCUACCUAUAAGACUGGGAUAACUUCGGGAAACCGGAGCUAAUACCGGAUAAUAUAUUGAACCGCAUGGUUCCAUAGUGAAAGACGGUUUUGCUGUCACUUAUAGAUGGAUCCGCGCCGCAUUAGCUAGUUGGUAAGGUAACGGCUUACCAAGGCAACGAUGCGUAGCCGACCUGAGAGGGUGAUCGGCCACACUGGAAGUGAGACACGGUCCAGACUCCUACGGGAGGCAGCAGUAGGGAAUCUUCCGCAAUGGGCGAAAGCCUGACGGAGCAACGCCGCGUGAGUGAUGAAGGUCUUCGGAUCGUAAAACUCUGUUAUUAGGGAAGAACAAAUGUGUAAGUAACUAUGCACGUCUUGACGGUACCUAAUCAGAAAGCCACGGCUAACUACGUG